rnacentral:rRNA from 1 species
GAUACAGGGUGACAGCCCCGUACACAAAAGCGCAUGUGCUGUGAGCUCGAUGAGUAGGGCGGGACACGUGGUAUCCUGUCUGAAUAUGGGGGGACCAUCCUCCAAGGCUAAAUACUCCUGACUGACCGAUAGUGAACCAGUACCGUGAGGGAAAGGCGAAAAGAACCCCGGCGAGGGGAGUGAAAAAGAACCUGAAACCGUGUACGUACAAGCAGUGGGAGCCCCACCACUAAGCCAGUGGUGAACUCCACAUACGCAUCCUUUGCUGAGGAUAAGGUUAACGGAGCGAAAGCGACGUUCAACCGCAAAAGAAGCAGAGGGGGCUUAGUGGUGGGGUGACUGCGUACCUUUUGUAUAAUGGGUCAGCGACUUAUAUUCUGUAGCAAGGUUAACCGUAUAGGGGAGCCGCAGGGAAACCGAGUCUUAACCGGGCGUUAAGUUGCAGGGUAUAGACCCGAAACCCGGUGAUCUAGCCAUGGGCAGGUUGAAGGUUGGGUAACACUAACUGGAGGACCGAACCGACUAAUGUUGAAAAAUUAGCGGAUGACCUGUGGCUGGGGGUGAAAGGCCAAUCAAACCGGGAGAUAGCUGGUUCUCCCCGAAAGCUAUUUAGGUAGCGCCUCGUGAAUUCAUCUCCGGGGGUAGAGCACUGUUUCGGCUAGGGGGCCAUCCCGGCUUACCAACCCGAUGCAAACUGCGAAUACCGGAGAAUGUUAUCACGGG